rnacentral:misc_RNA from 1 species
UUUGCUGUAUUGAGUUUGAUUGGCCGGUGGGAUGCUGGAAGCACACUAGCAGGUCUUUUUCGCCCAUUGGAAACGGCAGCAGCAGUGUCUUUGCAGCUAGCUUCGUCGUUCACAUUCCGCUUCACUCGUUUGCGGGCAAAGAACUCACCUUCUUCGUCGCUGGAGGAGUCGGUAGCGUCUGGGUCUGUGACUGAUAUCCGUACAAGUCUUGGUGGGUUGUGCUCUAAUCUACUCCUUUCAUCAGAGACCUUUUUGGACUUUAAGGAGGGUUUUGUGAAUUUCUUAGUAACUAUUCUGUGUUCUGUAUAUUUCAUAGGACAUAGGAUACUGUGGUCCAUCAUCUCCUCUUGUGGAAGUGUUUUCUUAACUUCCCUGAUUCUUUAUUCUCAUCAAAAGAAAGAGAAAAAAAGAUAACACAGAAAAGAAAAAGGCAAAGAGCCGUGAAGAAGAAGAAGAAGACGAAUAAGAC